rnacentral:tRNA from 1 species
GGGGCUAUAGCUCAGUCGGUUAGAGCGCAUCCCUGAUAAGGAUGAGGUCGGUGGUUCGAUUCCACCUAGCCCCA